rnacentral:rRNA from 1 species
CCAAUAGCGUAUAUUAAAGUUGUUGCAGUUAAAAAGCUCGUAGUUGAAUUUCGGGAUCAAUUUAUUGGUCGUGCUAUUGUACGUACUGGUAUUAUUGAUUCCUACCUUCUGACGAACCAUGAUGUCAUUAAUUUGGUGUCAUGGGGAAUCAGGACUGUUACUUUGAAAAAAUUAGAGUGUUUAAAGCAGGCUCACGCUUGAAUACAUUAGCAUGGAAUAACGAAAUAGGACGUUUGAUUCUAUUUUGUUGGUUUCUAGGAUCGACGUAAUGAUUAAUAGGGAUAGUUGGGGGCAUUAGUAUUCAAUUUUCAGAGGUGAAAUUCUUGGAUUUAUUGAAGACUAACUACUGCGAAAGCAUUUGCCAAGGAUGUUUUCAUUAAUCAAGAACGAAAGUUAGGGGAUCGAAGACGAUCAGAUACCGUCGUAGUCUUAACCAUAAACUAUGCCGACUAGGGAUCGGAUGAUGUUAAUUUUUUAAUGACUCAUUCGGCGCCUUACG